rnacentral:rRNA from 1 species
CGUACAGGUCUCCGUAGGUGAACCUGCGGAGGGAUCAUUACAAGAACGCCCGGGCUUCGGCCUGGUUAUUCAUAACCCUUUGUUGUCCGACUCUGUUGCCUCCGGGGCGACCCUGCCUUCGGGCGGGGGCUCCGGGUGGACACUUCAAACUCUUGCGUAACUUUGCAGUCUGAGUAAACUUAAUUAAUAAAUUAAAACUUUUAACAACGGAUCUCUUGGUUCUGGCAUCGAUGAAGAACGCAGCGAAAUGCGAUAAGUAAUGUGAAUUGCAGAAUUCAGUGAAUCAUCGAAUCUUUGAACGCACAUUGCGCCUCCUGGUAUUCCGGGGGGCAUGCCUGUUCGAGCGUCAUUUCACCACUCAAGCCUCGCUUGGUAUUGGGCAACGCGGUCCGCCGCGUGCCUCAAAUCGUCCGGCUGGGUCUUCUGUCCCCUAAGCGUUGUGGAAACUAUUCGCUAAAGGGUGUUCGGGAGGCUACGCCGUAAAACAACCCCAUUUCUAAGGUUGACCUCGGAUCAGGUAGGGAUACCCGCUGAACUUAAGCAUAUCA